UAUCACUUCACAUUCAAAACACAAAGCUUUGAAUGGAGGAGUAGUUUACCUGGAACAACUCUGACUGUCACAGAGCCAAAUCUUCAAGUGCAGGUUAACAGAGUCAAUCGGUAUUCUUCCUGGGCAGAGCUGAAGUGUCACAGCAGCUGUCGUCUACCUGAUCGUUCUUCCUUCAUCUGGUACAAGAAUGGACAGAAAAUUCAGGAUAAAACAUCUUCUACUCAUGAAGGGUACUUUACUUCUGCAGACAGCUCUUAUUGUGCAUUACAAGGAUUUGAGCAUCAUCCUGCUCCUUCAGUGUGUGUCCAUGGUCAAUCCUGCAACAGAGUGAUUUACACUGACAGAAGCAUCUGUGCCUUCAGAGGCUCAUCAGUGGACAUUUCCUGCACAUACAGCAGUUAUGGAUCUAUCACAUCAUCAUUCUGGUUCAGUCCUGAUCGUAGUCGUCAGUGGCGGAAUCCCUCACAGCCUGAGGA